rnacentral:misc_RNA from 1 species
AGCACCAGCACCAGCACCACCAUAGCUUCCUCUACUGCUUCCAUACAUUGAACCUCCUGCACUAUCUCCUCCAUACCCACUGCCAAGACCAGCGGCACCAUAUCCACUGCCAUAUCCACCGCCACCAGCACCAUAUCCUCCAUAACCUUCACCUGCUCCUCCAUAUCCACCACCAACAUCGUAGCCUCUACCAAAGGCUCCACUGCCAUAACGGCUAGAAUACCCAAAAGAAGCCUCCUCCCUGAAACCUCCUCCGUAGGCACCACCGCCACCAUAUGCUCCAUAUCCACCCAUUCCUCCUCCACUAUAUCCACCAAAUGCACUGGAUCUGCCACCAUAGGGGCCACCAGACCUGUAAGGACCAGGACCAGGACCAGCAACAACACCAUAACCAGAGUCUCCAUAUCCACCAUAAGCAUCUGAAAAUCCACCACCAAAUGCAGCUCUUGGAUUCCCUUGACGCCUGAAUGGGGCUGGUUGUGGCGCAUUAGGUCUCUUGGGCUCAGCCUUCUUGAUUUCCACCUGGGUUCCAGAAAAAUCAAGCUUGUUUCCAUUAGCCAAGAUAUCCUCGACAGAUUUUUCUGUGUCAAAAGUGAUGAAUCCAAAGCCACGAGAACGACUAGUAGAAUGGUCACGCAUGAUCUGGUGCUCUUUCACCUCUCCAAACUUUAAAAAGAAGUCUCUGAACUCAUCUUCACUAAUUGUUGUUGGGAUACCGCCCACAAAAAUCUUCUUUGUCUUGAAAUCUUUUGAGCUGGAACCUCCUCCUCUAGGUAUAGUUCGCUUGAUUUCCACUUGCUUUCCAUUUAUAACAUGGUCGUCCUCAAUGACUUUAUCUACCACGGAUGGGUCAGCAUAAGUCACAAAACCAAACCCACGUGGCUGUCCUGUCCGCCUUUCCUUCAUAAUCACGGAAUCAAUAAUUUCACCAUAUUUACCGAAGUGCUUGACAAAUUGAGCUGAAGUUGUCUCUCUAGCCAAGCCCCCAAUAAAAAUCUUUCCAGGACUAGCACCAUCUCCGGUAAGAGGCUGAGAAGCGCCGGCGUCGUUUUGAUGGUCGGGAGUAGUUCUAAGGUCGUCAUUAGUUUCUUCUUCCUCCAGUUUGAUUUUAACACCAUUUACAGUCCCAUUUUGUUCCUCCAUCGAGAAGAAGACGUUUGUCGGUGUUUUUCAAGGAAGUUUUCAAUGAAUCGGAACCGGAGCUCUGAGGUUCACCGUGAAAAUAUGCGGUCUGAUCUAGUACAGGACGUUGUCGGCGCUUUUAUAUACCAAAACCCUAGAUAGUUUGAUAGGGGAACGUUCGAUUAGAG